rnacentral:rRNA from 1 species
UACGUAGGUGGCAAGCGUUGUCCGGAUUUACUGGGCGUAAAGCGCGCGCAGGCGGACUGGUCAGUCCGGGGUGAAAUCUCACGGCUCAACCGUGAGCGGUCCCCGGAUACUGCCAGUCUUGAGGUGUCUAGAGGAGAGCGGAAUUCCCGGUGUAGUGGUGGAAUGCGUAGAUAUCGGGAAGAACACCAGUGGCGAAGGCGACUUCCUGGCCUGUUCUUGACGCUGAGGCGCGAAAGCUAGGGUAGCAAACGGG